GACGAACGCUGGCGGCGUGCUUAACACAUGCAAGUCGAACGGAAAGGCCCUGCUUUUGUGGGGUGCUCGAGUGGCGAACGGGUGAGUAACACGUGAGUAACCUGCCCUUGACUUUGGGAUAACUUCAGGAAACUGGGGCUAAUACCGGAUAGGAGCUCCUGCUGCAUGGUGGGGGUUGGAAAGUUUCGGCGGUUGGGGAUGGACUCGCGGCUUAUCAGCUAGUUGAUGGGGUAGUGGCUUACCAAGGCUUUGACGGGUAGCCGGCCUGAGAGGGUGACCGGCCACAUUGGGACUGAGAUACGGCCCAGACUCCUACGGGAGGCAGCAGUGGGGAAUAUUGCACAAUGGGCGGAAGCCUGAUGCAGCAACGCCGCGUGCGGGAUGACGGCCUUCGGGUUGUAAACCGCUUUCGCCUGUGACGAAGCGUGAGUGACGGUAAUGGGUAAAGAAGCACCGGCUAACUACGUG
rnacentral:rRNA from 1 species